AUACAUCAAAGGCAAAUUUUUAUGUCUACUGCAUGGAGCCAUGAAUCAAAAUAGCUCAAGAAAGCAGCCUCAUUUUUAGCUUGCAUGUAUUUUACAAUUGGAUUUUGCACUACUGAGAUGUUCAAAUACAGAACUCUUCAUACACAGGUUGCCAUCAAUGGCCAUAUGAUGAAAAUUUAGCACCUCAAAAACCAAAUUGGACCUCUUUCUUGUUUUAGAACCAAACACAAAAUGCAUUUCCUUUCCAUGGAAGACCUCAAAGUUAAAUGUACCAGCAGAUAAAAGGAGAAAAUCAUUCUGGUUCAUCUGCGCUUGGUGGAGGCUCUGAACGUCUUCUCUUGGAUUCAUGACCACCCAACUGCAAGGAAAAGCUGAUGUCUUCAUCAGAGCCUUUCCUAAGAGCUGAGAGAUUCUCGUAUGCUGACUUAUCACGAUGGUCGUCUUGAUUAGCCGGAGGUUGCCCAUUGAAGCUUGGAAUGAAUUGAUGUUCAACACUUGCAUCAAAGUUGAUCCCACUUUCUUCCAAGUUAAAUGUAGCUUCCACAGGUGAAGAGUUUAUAUCAGGGCCACCAAUGCCAUCUUCCAAGGGAAUUUGUUGAAUGUGAAGCCCAAGAGGCUCUAUUUUGUCCUUUGGAAGCAUUAUAUCAGGAGGUGAAGAAUCCCCAGCCGUAGAGCCCACCAUUGUGGCAGAGGCAGCUCUCUGUUCUUGCACUGCAACUUUUAGAGCUUCAUCUUUGGUAAUGAUAUCAAGUUCAAGGAAAUUGAGCAGACGCCCAAGGUCAACUCCACUAGUCCAAUUUUCUGGAGAUUGUCCCACCUUUAGUUUAAGCCGUCCCCUAUUUGCAGUUCCACCCCAAAUAAUACCAAUUGGUCGGGGUUUUUCCCCAUUCUCACCCUUCAAAACGAUUAAACUUCCACUGUCUCCUUCAAGGUCAAAAGUCUGCUGG
rnacentral:misc_RNA from 1 species